rnacentral:rRNA from 1 species
UUAUCAAAAACAUGUCUUUUUGAAAUUUAUUUAAAGUCUAACCUGCCCAUUGAAUUUUUAAAAGGCCGCGAUAUUUUGAUCGUGCAAAGGUAGCAUAAUCAUUAGUUUUUUAAUUGAAAACUUGUAUGAAUGGUUGAAUGAAAUAUUAACUGUUUCAUAAAAAUUUUAAUAAAACUUUAUUUUUUAGUUAAAAAGCUAAAAUAAAAUUAAAAGACGAGAAGACCCUAUAAAGUUUUAUAAUUAUAUAUUAAUUAUUUUUUUAGAAAUUUUAUAAUUUUUUUUAUAUAAUUAUUUUAUUGGGGUGAUAAUAAAAUUUAUUAAACUUUUGUUUUUUAAUAACAUUAAUUUAUGAAUUUAUGAUCCAAUAUUAUUGAUUAAAAAUUUAAAUUACUUUAGGGAUAACAGCGUAAUUUUUUUUAAAAGUUCAUAUUAAUAAAAAAGAUUGCGACCUCGAUGUUGGAUUAAAGUUAAUUUUAGGUGUAGAAGCUUAAAAUAUUAAGUCUGUUCGACUUUUAAUUUUUUACGUGAUCUGAGU